AUUGAACGCUGGCGGCAGGCUUAACACGUGCAAGUCGAACGCGUGGCGGACGGGUGAGUAAUGCUUGGGAAUCUCGCUUCUGGAGGGGGAUAACUACGGGAAACUGUAGCUAAUACCGCGUACCAUAGGAUUAGCCCAAGUGGGCUUGGGUAGUUGGUGAGGUAAAGGCUCACCAAGCCGACGAUCGCUCGCUGGUCUGAGAGGAUGACCAGCCACACGGGGACUGAGACACGGCCCAGACGCCUACGGGAGGCAGCAGUGGGGAAUAGGGCGCAAUGGGGGCAACCCUGACGCAGCCAUGCCGCGUGUAUGAAGAAGGCCUUAGGGUUGUAAAGUACUUUCAGCGGGGAGGCGUUACCCGCAGAAGAAGCACCGGCUAACUCCGUGCCAGCCGCCGCGGUAAUAC
rnacentral:rRNA from 1 species